CCGGAAUUAUUGGGUUUAAAGGGUGCGUAGGCGGAUUGAUAAGUCAGCGGUGAAACUCACAGGCUCAACCUGUGCCGUGCCGUUGAAACUGUUAAUCUUGAAUGCGGAUGCUGUGGGAGGAAUGUGUAGUGUAGCGGUGAAAUGCAUAGAUAUUACACAGAACACCGAUUGCGAAGGCAUCUCACAAAGCCGUGAUUGACGCUGAGGCACGAAAGUGUGGGGAUCAAACAGGAUUAGAUACCCUGGUAGUCCACUACUGUAAACGAUGAUAACUCGCUGCCGGCGAUAUAAAGUCGGUGGCCCAGCGAAAGCGAUAAGUUAUCCACCUGGGGAGUACGACCGCAAGGUUGAAACUCAAAGGAAUUGACGGGGGCCCGCACAAGCGGAGGAACAUGUGGUUUAAUUCGAUGAUACGCGAGGAACCUUACC
rnacentral:rRNA from 1 species